UAAAAAAAACCCUGCAAUUCUUCAGGUAUAUGCUUUGGUCUUCACGUAUAUAUACUGCAGGGUGUUGACACUCGUUUAAAUUGAACUCAAUCUGUUUUGAUGUUUCAGAACAGCAGGUAGCUCGGAAUGAGAGGCACAGAGAAGAUGCGAGGCAUAACACCAUGUCUUUGGAGUUCUUUCAAGCAGGCAUGCUGGGAGAGAAUUGCGCUAUGUUCGAGCAAUUGAUAACCUAGAGGUGAGGUCAACAGACCUCGUGUCUGCUUUUUAGACGGGUAGAUCUUCACAGUAGACCAAGACAGGAUGGAGAAGCUUAGCAACAUAUUAUGCUCAGCAUGCUACUCAGCAUGGAUGGGGAUUACCUAUAGUUACUGCAGUCCGUGCAAUAGCUGCAGCUGCCCCUUAGCAUCCUUGUUGUUAAAU
rnacentral:lncRNA from 1 species